rnacentral:lncRNA from 1 species
AGACGAUGAAGUUUUCUAUAAUUUAGAUAUAAUUUGUCCCAAAAGUAGUACAACACACUGUAAAAGUUUCUUUGAGAAAGCGCAGGUGGGAUUUUUUUUAUUUUCAUUUAUGUUCUAUUAAAAAGAAAUGCACUAUGAAAUAAUUGUGGUCUCGGACCAUAUGCUGACCCAGCCGAAUUGGUUUGAAUAGUUUGAUGAGAAUCUGUACAAAUAAUUCCCUGUUUAACGUUAUUCGAAUUCUGCAUAUACACACGUAAUUUAAAUUCUGUAUAGUGUGUACUUUUUUUU